UACGGUCUGCGCUUCUCGACAGGAAUCAACACGAAUCCCCGGGGCCUUACUCGAUCCUAAGGGAGCUGUCCCUGACCUGGCCCGUGGGCUUGGUUAUAUGGCGCCCACCUACUUCUGUAGGCGCCCAGGAUCCAACCGAUUCCAUCGGUCGCCGUGGACCGCAC
rfam:Martelella mediterranea DSM 17316 strain MACL11, complete genome.